CGUGGGUAACCUACCCAUCAGAGGGGGAUAACACUUGGAAACAGGUGCUAAUACCGCAUAACAGUUUAUGCCGCAUGGCAUAAGAGUGAAAGGCGCUUUCGGGUGUCGCUGAUGGGUGGACCCGCGGUGCAUUAGCUAGUUGGUGAGGUAACGGCUCACCAAGGCCACGAUGCAUAGCCGACCUGAGAGGGUGAUCGGCCACACUGGAACUGAGACACGGUCCAG
rnacentral:rRNA from 1 species